rnacentral:lncRNA from 1 species
CGUCCGCCGGACUCGGAAUGCCGCGAGACUUUGCGAGGGGCCUCCGUGUGCCAAAAAUCGGCUGUGGUCAAAGCCGCGCCCAAAAAUAACCACCCGAAGGCCGGGGCUCCAAGUUCGUCCAGCGGAAAAAGGCCACAAAAACGGGUGGGCUAUAGCCUUGGGGGGUGGAGCUGGCCCACUUCAACCGCCGGACUCGGAAUGCCGCGAGACUUUGCGAGGGGCCUCCGUGUGCCAAAAAUAGGCCGCGGGCAAAGCCGCGUCCAAAAAUAACCACCCGAAGGCCGGGCCGCCAAGUUCGUCCAGCGGAAAAAGGCCACAAAAACGGGUGGGCUAUAGCCUUGGGGGGUGGGGCUGGCCCACUUCGUCCGCCGGACUCGGAAUGGCGCGAGACUUUGCGAGGGCCCUCCGUGUGCCAAAAAUAGGCCGCGGGCACAGCCGCGCCCAAAAAUAACCGCUCGAAGGCCGGGGCGCCAAGUUCGUCCAGCGGAAAAAGGCCACAAAAACGGGUGGGCUAUAGCCUUGCGGGGUGGGGCCGGCCCACUUCGUCCGCCGGACUCGGAAUGGCGCGAGACUUUGCGAGGCGCCUCCGUGUGCCAAAAAUAGGCCGCGGGCAAAGCCGCGUCCCAAAAUAACCGCCCGAAGGCCGGGGCGCCAAGUUCGUCCCGCGGAAAAAGGCCACAAAAACGGGAGCGCUAUAGCCUUGGGGGGUGGGGCUGGCCAACUUCGUCCGCCGG